UACGAAGGGGGCUAGCGUUGUUCGGAUUUACUGGGCGUAAAGCGCACGUAGGCGGGUUGUUAAGUCAGGGGUGAAAUCCUGGAGCUCAACUCCAGAACUGCCUUUGAUACUGGCAACCUAGAGGCUGGAAGAGGUUAGUGGAAUUCCCAGUGUAGAGGUGAAAUGCGUUGAUAUCGAUAGGAACUCCGGUGGCGAAGGCGGCAUACUGGUCCACUUCUGACGCUGAGGCGCGAAAGCCAGGGGAGCAAACGGG
rnacentral:rRNA from 1 species